rnacentral:rRNA from 1 species
GACGAACGCUGGCGGCGUGCUUAACACAUGCAAGUCGAACGGAAAGGCCCUGCUUUUGUGGGGUGCUCGAGUGGCGAACGGGUGAGUAACACGUGAGUAACCUGCCCUUGACUUUGGGAUAACUUCAGGAAACUGGGGCUAAUACCGGAUAGGAGCUCCCGUUGCAUGGUGGGGGUUGGAAAGUUUCGGCGGUAGGGGAUGGACUCGCGGCUUAUCAGCUUGUUGGUGGGGUAGUGGCUUACCAAGGCUUUGACGGGUAGCCGGCCUGAGAGGGUGACCGGCCACAUUGGGACUGAGAUACGGACCAGACUCCUACGGGAGGCAGCAGUGGGGAAUAUUGCACAAUGGGCGGAAGCCUGAUGCAGCAACGCCGCGUGCGGGAUGACGGCCUGCGGGUUGUAAACCGCUUUCGCCUGUGACGAAGCGUGAGUGACGGUAAUGGGUAAAGAAGCACCGGCUAACUACGUG